rnacentral:rRNA from 1 species
UACGGAGGGUGCAAGCGUUAAUCGGAAUUACUGGGCGGAAAGCGUGCGCAGGCGGUUUGUUAAGUCUGCUGUGAAAUCCCCGAGCUCAACUUGGGAAUUGCAGUGGAUACUGGCAAGCUGGAGUACGGUAGAGGAAGGUGGAAUUCCCGGUGUAGCAGUGAAAUGCGUAGAGAUCGGGAGGAACACCAGAGGCGAAGGCGGCUCGCUGGACAGUCACUGACACUCAACUACGAAAGCGUGGGGAGCAAACAGG